ACUCUUGUAGCUAAACCCAAAAGCGCUGGCCUUGUAAGACAGAAAUGGAAGACACUAGACCUUCCCGAGAGUA
rnacentral:tRNA from 1 species